GGAGCGCGGGCCCCACCCGGCCCAAGAUGGAAGCGGCCGUUGGUGCCGCACCUUCCCGUCCCAGCCCGAACCUCAGGCGCGCGGUAGCCUAGCAGAUAUGAGGACCGUGCUCCGCCAACCCGGCCUCGGUACCUCGCGGCGGCUGUUGCAGCCGCAGUCCCAGAGCUGUGUCCGCACUCACCUUCUAGUCUCCGCAGCCGCGACGCGAGUCCCACCACUUUGAUCUGCUUUGGGCUUUAGCCGAGGACCCUCCCGUCUCAGCCUAGCACGGAGCCGACGAGCUCGCCACCGACCAAUAGAACGCUGCACCUCCCCAAGGAGUCCCGCCUCUAGCUUCUCCUCUGUCCAAUGAGGGGCGAGCGCGCGGAAGGGGGCCCAGGGGGCGGGGCGGGAAGCGAAGCGGAGGCUCCGAGGGUGGGUCGGCUCGGGUAGGUUCGGUUGGCCCGCAGGCUGCGGCUUCGGCCACGGGGUUUCCUCCAAUUAGAUCCAGGGUGAAUGGACGUCACUGUUGCCAUGGCGAUGCUUUUCCAACUCCCCUCAUCCUCCCCGCCAGCCCGGCACUCCUGGGUGCGGCACGGGACCGGAGGUGCUUUCGACCUCCGAGGCUGCGACCGCGUGUCCUGUAGCAGCAACCACUGCAGAUGGGGCGUUGCAGCUCUCGAGCUGCUGCGGCUGCAGCUGGACUUGGCAGGGGUGAGAUAAUUAGCCCUUUUGAUGCACAAGCGCCUUCCUUUCUUCUACCUUCCUGUUCUUGACAAAGGCACCCGAAAGCCAGCAAUUCCCUUAUGGAAAGGUAGAUUCAGGAGAUCUGGGCAGGACUGCGUGGCAGCGUCAGGCUCCCUUAUUUCCUAGCCCUCAAUCCAAUUCCUAGUGAGGUGGCUGUCCUACCGGACUCAAAGAAUGAAACUGCCACCUGGGCUCUGAAGAGAUGCCAGUUCCAGUAGUUCCUCAAGGGUUCAAAGAACUUCAGUGACUGCCACAGGCAAAGUGGAUUCAAAUGCUAAACGGAACCAAGCAGACCGAAGACUGCAGAAAGGAAGAAACGCCUUACUAUGCUCCAGUGCAGCGGCGGACGGCCCGGUGUUAUUUCUGGAAUCCCCAAGGCCAGGCUGCAAGACACACGAGCGUUUAUGUUCCUGUGGGUUGGGGUGGAGCUGGACACACAGAAAUCCCAACGGAUAAAAUGCCUUCUGUAUAAGCAGUGGAUUUCAAGAUUCCCUAAAUUAGAGCAGCAAACCCAGCCCAUAGAGAGGAGACGCCCAUGGAGGUGAUGAGAGAGGAGACAUAUGAAGGGAAAUUGUCAAAAAGGUUGUUUCUGAGUGAGGCCUACCCAAAAGAGGCACGUGCCAAAUAUUUACCACAAACAAGCUCAUAUGAUCAUGUGAAAUCAAAAACUGACACAUUAUGAAAUUGUAAUAUCUGAGGGACUCC
rnacentral:lncRNA from 1 species